GAGCCCCGGAGCCCCGCCCGGCGCUGCAGAUGAGCAAGGUCCAGAGGCCCAUUUUCAGGGUUGGCGAGGCCAGGCUCGUUCAGGGCAGUCAUUGGACUGGGGUGAGUUCCUGUUUGGGGUGGGGGCCUCGGGCGGAGAGGCCUCCCCCUGCCUCAGAGCCAGAUUUGAGGAGGGAAACCCUUUUGCUUCACAACCAAGCUUGCCAAGGCUGAAAACGGCCUGGCCCUUGGAGGCGUUUGAACUUGAGACCUUUGGCUCACAGGAGCAGAGAUUGGCUAUGUGGAAGAGGCGGGGAGGCUGGGCAGCUUUUGAAGACUAUCCCUCAAGUCCCCUCAGGUUAGAAUCCCACGGAAUGUGGCCAGGAUGGUGACCCCUCUGCAAGGCCAACAAAGAGGAGCCCCUGCACCAGGUUGACCCGGUACCUCUAGAAUCCGUGGACUCCUCAGCUCCAUCUCUUGGAAACUCUAUAUUCUUUUUUUUUUUUUUUUAAGUUUACUACUUUCACCCCUCUUAUUAUAAAUAAGUGAUUCAUGAAUCCUAAUUGUGGUGGUAGCUAUGCAAACCUAUGAAUGUAUUAAAUAAAAUCCACAGAACUAUACACACUCCCCCCAAAAAAAGUCAAUUUUACUGUAUGAUAAUUUUGGAAAUAAAAAAAUUAAAUAACAGA